UACGAAGGGGGCUAGCGUUGUUCGGAUUAACUGGGCGUAAAGGGCGCGUAGGCGGCGCGGGAAGUCCGUGGUGAAAGCCCGAGGCUCAACUUCGGGUCGGCCAUGGAUACUCCUGGGCUCGAGCACUGUAGAGGCAGGUGGAAUUCCGGGUGUAGCGGUGGAAUGCGUAGAGAUCCGGAAGAACACCGGUGGCGAAGGCGGCCUGCUGGGCAGUAGCCGGAAAGGCUUGAAAGCUGACGCUGAGGCGCGACAGCGUGGGGAGCAAACAGG
rnacentral:rRNA from 1 species